rnacentral:lncRNA from 1 species
GUAAGCAAAAGAUAAGAUAAACAAAAAUACAAAAAAUUCAAAUCGUAAAUUCUCUUAUAAAAUGCCUAAUCAAAAGCUCAAUCACAUCAAACGGCUGGGAAACAACUGUAAUAUUCCCGAGUUGGCACAGGCAUUCCUAAAGUAGAACUGGCGGAUUAAACCUUUUGUGUUACAAUCUUAACCACUAUUAAACAAACAUUUAGCGCACUAACAAAAAAGAAAGACAAGCAAAACAAAACAAAACAAUGACCACGGCACAAAACACACCGGUGGGACGAGCAAGCACCGAGCAACGCCAAAAGAACACUACCAAAUUGCAUUAAGCAGUAAAGGUAAUUAAUUUACAAAGAAAAAACAGGAACGCAAAAACACUUAAUUUUUAUUUAUUUAUUUUCAUGGGUACCA